rnacentral:piRNA from 1 species
UAACAUCUGGGCUGUGAUGGUUUCUGAGGU